GAUGAACGCUGGCGGCGUGCCUAAUACAUGCAAGUCGAGCGAACAGACGAGGAGCUUGCUCCUCUGACGUUAGCGGCGGACGGGUGAGUAACACGUGGAUAACCUACCUAUAAGACUGGGAUAACUUCGGGAAACCGGAGCUAAUACCGGAUAAUAUAUUGAACCGCAUGGUUCAAUAGUGAAAGACGGUUUUGCUGUCACUUAUAGAUGGAUCCGCGCCGCAUUAGCUAGUUGGUAAGGUAACGGCUUACCAAGGCAACGAUGCGUAGCCGACCUGAGAGGGUGAUCGGCCACACUGGAACUGAGACACGGUCCAGACUCCUACGGGAGGCAGCAGUAGGGAAUCUUCCGCAAUGGGCGAAAGCCUGACGGAGCAACGCCGCGUGGGUGAUGAAGGUCUUCGGAUCGUAAAACUCUGUUAUUAGGGAAGAACAAAUGUGUAAGUAAAUAUGCACGUCUUGACGGUACCUAAUCAGAAAGCCACGGCUAACUACGUG
rnacentral:rRNA from 1 species